rnacentral:lncRNA from 1 species
UUAAAUAUUAAAUUAACAAUUGAAACUAUUUUACUAGAAAUAUUUUAAAUCACAAAAAGGUUAGUAGUUUCCAUGUCCAAAUUGCUUCCUUCCAAUGGACAUUUUGUAGGUCCAUCUAAUCAACCAACCUUUUCCAAGUUUCGCAACAACCAAUUUGUUUCAAAAUUUACUUAAUACGUUAAUUUAUGAAAACAUUUUUUUUUUGUAAACAAACAUUUAAUAUUAUUGUUUUACUGUAUAAAAAAGCCAAAUUUUCUUUUGUUUUAUUAGCCAGUAUGGCCCAGUAAUAUAUUUUUCUAGUACACCUUUGUAUUUUGGGUUAUUUGAUUCAAACGUUGUUUUUAUAGAUCCAAACAAUAAUAGUGAAACUAAAAAGGCUAACUAAUUUCUUAUGAUAAUUAUCAUCCGCAACCACUUUGAUUAGAUUUUCCAUGCCUAACAACUACCACCUCAAUGAUUUUUCUGGAGAAUCUUUAGCUUUGGCAAUUUUUAUAAAAAAUUAAUGAUAUUUAAUAUAUAGAAUAUAAGGUUGGAUUCGUUAGUGAACAACCCCCUUAAUUAUGAACACUAAUGAACUAAUCUUAGCUCUUGAAUCUUGAUUAUCAAUACACAAGUGUAAAUCAAUAGCCAGGAUUUGAUGAUGAAAAUACACCAGUUUAUUUUAAGAUUUGAUGAUGUAAAUCAAUGAAACACAUAGAAUAUAUACAUGCAUGCAUAGACAAAGAGAGGAUGUAUAAUAAGAAAACUAUCAGGCAAAGAACUAUAAAAGGCGUAUAAAUACUUUUAUAUUUUUUAAUUGUAAUAUA